rnacentral:rRNA from 1 species
UGAGUAACACGUAUGCAAUCCACCUGUAACAGGGGGAUAACCCGGAGAAAUCCGGACUAAUACCCCAUAAUAUGGGCGCUCCGCAUGGAGAGCCCAUUAAAGAGAGCAAUUUUGGUUACAGACGAGCAUGCGCUCCAUUAGCCAGUUGGCGGGGCAACGGCCCACCAAAGCGACGAUGGAUAGGGGUUCUGAGAGGAAGGUCCCCCACAUUGGAACUGAGACACGGUCCAA